GUUAUUAUGACAGUCUCUAGGCAGCCCCAGAGUGGCCAUAGGUCUGAGAGCCCCACAGGGCCCCUCCUGGUUGAUUCCCCAAAUCCACUUCUCCAUCACCCUCACUGACCUUCUCCCACUGUGAGGCCUCCUGCCUUCCACAGGACCUGCCUGCUGUCUCACCUCUUCAUAGCUCACCUCUCUUCUCUACCCCAAGGCUGGCUUUGAGGGACCCUGGCUCCACAGUCCUUGCCACAGUAUGAACAAGGUCACUUCCUGCUGCAGAGUCCUCACUCCAGCUUUCUCACCAAUCCUCCCCCUACACAAGAAGAUCAUCUCUGGGUUCAGGUCACCCAUCCAACUCCACUGAUGGAUUUAGGCUCAUUUAAUCCAAACUCGACUCCAUUUCAGCCAGAACCAGGCACCUCUAGAAAGGUCACCCUAACUGCCACAUCCAGUUCCUGAUCUGCCAUCUGCUUCUUUUCCAUCACUUGUGGGGUAUUUCCCAGCCUACCACUAAUGUGAGCCCUCCUGAGUCAAAAGUUCCCCUCUUCCAGGCCUCCUGCUCAGCUGACGUCCUGGACCAGGCAGGCCACCCUUGUUCCACUUCCCCUGGGAAGACACCUGGGUCUUGUGCCUGCCCUGGAUUAGGGUGGGCAAAUUAGUUCAUCCAGGACUAGAAGAAUGGAAAUAAACAGACUUGUGUCUUGGGGCUGACUCUGAAAGGUCCAAUGUUAUGCCUAACAGAAAAGCUCACCUUCCUCCAAACCCCUGGAGCCAUCUCAGGAGGCCCAGGGCCACCUAUUCCAUUCCUGACAAAACCCUAGAUGCCCACAUACUGCCCAGGUGUGACAUGGGCCUCUGUGACCCAAGCUGAGGACUAACCCACCGCUCAUAACACGGUUUCUACGGGAAAACCAAGUUGUGAAUUUUGAAUUAUCAGCCCACUGAGGGUGGAAGUCCAAGAUCUGUGGUGAUUUGGGUGCUGAUGCAAGCCAGAAGUCACAGCCCAGAGCCUGCAGCGGCUGCACUGCUGGGUCCCCAGUCCUCGAUGGGCACCAGCCAACCUGCCCUCUCGACCCUCCACAGCAACUCAGGCCCCCACUCCAUGGCUCCCCUGCACCAUCCUCAUGCCUGGUCAACUCUUGCUGCCAGUUGCUGUGAGACCCAGCUCACCACUGGGCAAACAGAGCUUGCAAAAUGCAGCCCAUGCUCACCAUUCAUGGAUUCCAUAUGUACAAAUUCACCUACCUGCGAAAUUGUAUCUGUAACCCCAAAAUCAAUACUGGCUGCACUUUUGGGGUCAUUCUCGGACACACACAGAGUGGGGAAGAAUGAGGGCUGCUCAACACGCACAUUCCCAGCGGGGGUGGAACAAGGCCCGCUCAGCCUGCUGGCUUCAGCUCCCACAAUGCAAACAAGUGUCCUUUUCGCAGGCUAUUUGGUGCCACAUUUUUCAUGCUUUUGUGCUUUGUGUUGGUGAUUUCACUGUUUAAAAUGUCCCCUAAGCAUAUUCGAAGCAACCUGGAUGAGACUGGAGACUAUUAUUCUAAGUGAAGUAACUCAGGAAUGGAAAACCAAACAUUGUCUGUUCUCACUCAUAAGUGAGAGCUAAGCUAUGAGGAUGCAAAGGCAUAAGAAUGACACAAUGGACUUUGGGGACUCAGGGAGAAAGAGUGGGAAGGGGGUGAGGGAUAAAAGACUACAAACUGGGUUCAGUGUAUGCUUCCCAGGUGAUGAGUGCACCAAAAUCUCACAAAUCACCACUAAAGAACUGACUCAUGUAACCAAAUGCCACCUGUUCCCCAAUAACCUAUGAAAAUAAAAAAAAAAAUUAAUGUCCC
rnacentral:lncRNA from 1 species